rnacentral:rRNA from 1 species
GAUGAACGCUGGCGGCGUGCUUAACACAUGCAAGUCGAACGAAGCACUUUAUUUGAUUUCCUUCGGGACUGAUUAUUUUGUGACUGAGUGGCGGACGGGUGAGUAACGCGUGGGUAACCUGCCUUGUACAGGGGGAUAACAGUUGGAAACGGCUGCUAAUACCGCAUAAGCGCACGGCAUCGCAUGAUGCAGUGUGGAAAACUCCGGUGGUGUAAGAUGGACCCGCGUUGGAUUAGCUAGUUGGUGAGGUAACGGCCCACCAAGGCGACGAUCCAUAGCCGACCUGAGAGGGUGACCGGCCACAUUGGGACUGAGACACGGCCCAAACUCCUACGGGAGGCAGCAGUGGGGAAUAUUGCACAAUGGGCGAAAGCCUGAUGCAGCGACGCCGCGUGAGCGAAGAAGUAUUUCGGUAUGUAAAGCUCUAUCAGCAGGGAAGAUAAUGACGGUACCUGACUAAGAAGCACCGGCUAAAUACGUG